UGCCUAAUACAUGCAAGUCGAGCGCGGGAAGCAGGCAGAUCCUCUUCGGAGGUGACGCCUGUGGAACGAGCGGCGGACGGGUGAGUAACACGUGGGCAACCUGCCUGUAAGAUUGGGAUAACCCCGGGAAACCGGGGCUAAUACCGGAUAAUACUUUUCGUUGCAUAACGAGAAGUUGAAAGGCGGCUUUUAGCUGUCACUUACAGAUGGGCCCGCGGCGCAUUAGCUAGUUGGUAAGGUAACGGCUUACCAAGGCGACGAUGCGUAGCCGACCUGAGAGGGUGAUCGGCCACACUGGGACUGAGACACGGCCCAGACUCCUACGGGAGGCAGCAGUAGGGAAUCUUCCGCAAUGGACGAAAGUCUGACGGAGCAACGCCGCGUGAGUGAUGAAGGUUUUCGGAUCGUAAAACUCUGUUGUCAGGGAAGAACAAGUGCCGUUCAAAUAGGGCGGCACCUUGACGGUACCUGACCAGAAAGCCCCGGCUAACUACGUGCCAGCAGCCGCGGUAAUACGUAGGGGGCAAGCGUUGUCCGGAAUUAUUGGGCGUAAAGCGCGCGCAGGCGGUCCUUUAAGUCUGAUGUGAAAGCCCACGGCUUAACCGUGGAGGGCCAUUGGAAACUGGAGGACUUGAGUACAGAAGAGGAGAGUGGAAUUCCACGUGUAGCGGUGAAAUGCGUAGAGAUGUGGAGGAACACCAGUGGCGAAGGCGACUCUCUGGUCUGUAACUGACGCUGAGGUGCGAAAGCGUGGGGAGCGAACAGGAUUAGAUACCCUGGUAGUCCACGCCGUAAACGAUGAGUGCUAGGUGUUAGGGGGUUUCCGCCCCUUAGUGCUGAAGUUAACGCAUUAAGCACUCCGCCUGGGGAGUACGGCCGCAAGGCUGAAACUCAAAAGAAUUGACGGGGGCCCGCACAAGCGGUGGAGCAUGUGGUUUAAUUCGAAGCAACGCGAAGAACCUUACCAGGUCUUGACAUCCUCUGCCAAUCCUAGAGAUAGGAUGUUCCCUUCGGGGACAGAGUGACAGGGGGGNCAGGGUUGUCGUCAGCUCGGGUCCUGAGAUGUUGGGUUAAGUCCCGCAACGAGCGCAACCCUUGAUCUUAGUUGCCAGCAUUUAGUUGGGCACUCUAAGG
rnacentral:rRNA from 1 species